UACGUAGGUGGCAAGCGUUGUCCGGAUUUAUUGGGCGUAAAGGGAGCGCAGGCGGUGACUUAAGUCUGAUGUGAAAGCCCACGGCUCAACCGUGGAAGGUCAUUGGAAACUGGGUCACUUGAAUAUAGAAGAGGAAAUUGGAAUUCCAUGUGUAGCGGUGAAAUGCGUAGAUAUAUGGAGGAACACCAGUGGCGAAGGCGACUUUCUGGUCUAUUAUUGACGCUGAGGCUCGAAAGCAUGGGUAGCAAACAGGAUUAGAUACCCGGGUA
rnacentral:rRNA from 1 species